UACGUAGGUGGCAAGCGUUGUCCGGAAUUACUGGGUGUAAAGGGCGUGUAGGCGGGAUAGCAAGUCAGAUGUGAAAUUCCGGGGCUUAACCCCGGCACUGCAUCUGAAACUGUUAUUCUUGAGUGUCGGAGAGGAAAGUGGAAUUCCCAGUGUAGCGGUGAAAUGCGUAGAGAUUGGAAGGAACACCAGUGGCGAAGGCGGCUUUCUGGACGAUAACUGACGCUGAGGCGCGAAAGCGUGGGGAGCAAACAGG
rnacentral:rRNA from 1 species